rnacentral:rRNA from 1 species
CGUGAGUGAUGAAGGCUUUCGGGUCGUAAAGCUCUGUCAAGUGGGAAGAAAAUGCUUGAUGCUAAUACCAUCAUGCACUGACGGUACCACUGAAGGAAGCACCGGCUAACUCCGUGCCAGCAGCCGCGGUAAUACGGGGGGUGCAAGCGUUAUUCGGAUUUAUUGGGCGUAAAGGGCGCGUAGGCGGUCUUUUAAGUCAGAUGUGAAAGCCCGGGGCUUAACCCCGGAAGUGCAUUUGAAACUAAGGGACUUGAGUAUGGGAGAGGGAAGUGGAAUUCCUGGUGUAGAGGUGAAAUUCGUAGAUAUCAGGAGGAACACCGGUGGCGAAGGCGACUUCCUGGACCAAUACUGACGCUAAGGCGCGAAGGCGUGGGGAGCAAACAGGAUUAGAUACCCUGGUAGUCCACGCAGUAAACGGUGAACACUAGGUGUAGCGGGUAUUGACCCCUGCUGUGCCGUAGCUAACGCAUUAA